GAGUUGAUCAUGGCUCAGAGCGAACGCUGGCGGCAGGCCUAACACAUGCAAGUCGAGCGCCCAGCAAUGGGAGCGGCAGACGGGAGAGUAACACGUGGGAACGUGCCCUUCAGUUCGGAACAACCAAGGGAAACUUUGGCUAAUACCGGAUACGCCCUUACGGGGAAAGAUUUAUCGCUGAAGGAUCGGCCCGCGUCUGAUUAGCUAGUUGGUGGGGUAAUGGCCCACCAAGGCUACGAUCAGUAGCUGGUCUGAGAGGAUGAUCAGCCUCACUGGGACUGAGACACGGCCCAGACUCCUACGGGAGGCAGCAGUGGGGAAUAUUGGACAAUGGGCGCAAGCCUGAUCCAGCCAUGCCGCGUGGAUGAUGAAGGCCCUAGGGUUGUAAAGUCCUUUUAAC
rnacentral:rRNA from 1 species